rnacentral:rRNA from 1 species
GACGAACCGUGCGAACGUUAUUCGGAAUCACUGGGCUUAAAGCGCGUGUAGGCGGGACGGCACGUCGGUCGCUGAAAUCCCCCGGCUCAACCGGGGAACGGGCGCCGAUACGACCGCCCUGGAGGGACGUAGGGGGACCUGGAACUUCCGGUGGAGCGGUGAAAUGCGUUGAGAUCGGAAGGAACGCCCGUGGCGAAAGCGAGGUCCUGGACGUCUGCUGACGCUGAGACGCGAAAGCCAGGGGAGCGAACAGG